rnacentral:lncRNA from 1 species
UUACCCUGCAGUUUGUGAAUUUUUACAGAACAAUAGUUUAUUAUCAAUAAUCAGAGCCCAUGAAGCCCAGGAUGCUGGGUACCGAAUGUACAGGAAGAACCAAGCAACUGGCUUUCCAUCACUCAUUACAAUUUUCUCUGCCCCCAAUUACCUAGAUGUCUAUAACAAUAAAGAGUCACAGAGAUGUUGGUCAAUAUUCUCAACAUAUGCUCGGAUGAAGAAAUGUCCUUAGUCGAAGAGGAAGCCAAACUACAAGCAGCAGAGGAGCGGGAAGCCAUCAGAGGUUUUACAAUUGCACACAGGAUCCGAAGUUUUGAAGAAGCCCGAGGUCUAGACCGAAUUAAUGAGAGAAUGCCACCCCGAAAAGAGGCUUCUUAUCACCAUGAUGCAGGAAAGACACACCCACACCCGUCAAAAAGGAGCGACCAUGGAAAGAAAGCCCUGUAAUGACUCAGGGCCCUGUGCAGCUGGGACCCAACCCCAUGAACAAAUCAUAUUUAUUUAUACUGGAAUUUAAACAGGAACAACUCAAAC